GGGGAUGCAAGGCAUAGACAAAAGCGUACAUCUCGCGUGUGCAAGGUGGAGCUCCAACAACUCCUUAAACGGUUGGAAACCUAACUGCAAAAACAGUUGCUAAAGCAGUCGCUUCUCCAUUUUUUGGAGUAAACGAUUUUGCUUUCGCUCGCGCUUCGGCGUAAGCGACAUUCGCCGUCCAACGCCUCAGCGGACGGACCGAGUGUUGUAUCAGGGGCUAGAAAUCUUGAGCGUCUCGGCAGGAUUUUGAAAAUAAGAGAAUCGUGUAUAAAGUAUUUUGUUCGUUUAUAGCUUCAUACAUUAAAAAAACAAAACGGCACUAAACCUUGUAGAUUCACGCGCGACGAACUUUUGCACCCGAGUUCAAUUCUCGGCAUCUCCAUUC
rnacentral:tmRNA from 4 species